rnacentral:rRNA from 1 species
AUUGAACGCUGGCGGCAUGCCUUACACAUGCAAGUCGAACGGUAACAGGUCUUCGGAUGCUGACGAGUGGCGAACGGGUGAGUAAUACAUCGGAACGUGCCUAGUAGUGGGGGAUAACUACUCGAAAGAGUGGCUAAUACCGCAUGAGAUCUACGGAUGAAAGCAGGGGAUCGCAAGACCUUGUGCUACUAGAGCGGCCGAUGGCAGAUUAGGUAGUUGGUGGGAUAAAAGCUUACAAAGCCGACGAUCUGUAGCUGGUCUGAGAGGACGAUCAGCCACACUGGGACUGAGACACGGCCCAGACUCCUACGGGGGGAAGCAGUGGGGAAUUUUGGACAAUGGGCGCAAGCCUGAUCCAGCAAUGCCGCGUGCAGGAUGAAGGCCUUCGGGUUGUAAACUGCUUUUGUACGGAACGAAAAGCCCCGGGUUAAUACCCUGGGGUCAUGACGGUACCGUAAGAAUAAGCACCGGCUAACUACGUGCCAGCCGCCGCCGUAA